CCGGUUUAAGCCAGGUCGGUUUCUAUCUCCAAUUUUAUUUUUGUUCUUAGUACGAAAGGACCAGAACGGG
rnacentral:tRNA from 1 species